rnacentral:misc_RNA from 1 species
UAAUAAGUGUUUUAUGGCACUUUUUUAAAUCCAUAUCCACCUUGUGUGCAAUGUCGGUCGAUCUUCUUCAUGGAGAUCGACCAAACAUCAACCUUUAUCUUUUAACUCUUUGUCUGAAAAAUAUUAUGAAUAAACAAUUCAAAUA